rnacentral:rRNA from 1 species
AAAGGAAUAGACGGGGGCCCGCACAAGCGGAGGAACAUGUGGUUUAAUUCGAUGAUACGCGAGGAACCUUACCUGGGCUUAAAUGGGGGACGACAGCUGCUGAAAGGUGGUUUUCUUCGGACGUUCUUCAAGGUGCUGCAUGGUUGUCGUCAGCUCGUGCCGUGAGGUGUCGGGUUAAGUCCCAUAACGAGCGCAACCCUUACUGUUAGUUGCCAUCGGGUAAAGCCGGGGACUCUAGCGGGACUGCCACCGUAAGGUGAGAGGAAGGUGGGGAUGACGUCAAAUCAGCACGGCCCUUAUGUCCAGGGCUACACACGUGUUACAAUGGCCGGUACAAAGGGCAGCUACACCGCGAGGUGAUGCUAAUCUCGAAACCCGGUCUCAGUUCGGAUCGAAGUCUGCAACCCGACUUCGUGAAGUUGGAUUCGCUAGUAAUCGCGCAUCAGCCACGGCGCGGUGAAUACGUUCCCGGGCCUUGUACACACCGCCCGU